rnacentral:rRNA from 1 species
AAACUUUCGCACUGGUCGAAAGUCUGAUGGAGCAAUGCGGCGCGAGUGAGGAAAGUCUUCGGAUCGUAAAACUCUGUUGUUGGGGGAGAACAAGUGGCGUGCGAUACGGGAGGUACCUUGACGGUAACUCACCAGAAAGACACGGCUAACUACGUGCUAGCACACGCGGUAAUACGUAGGUGGCAAGCGUUAUCCGGCAUUAGUGGGCGUAAAGCGCGCGCAGACGGUUUCUUGAGUCUGAUGUGAAAGCCCACGGCUCAACCGUGGAGGGUCAUUGGAAACUGGGAAGCUUGAGUGCAGAAGAGGAGAGUGGAAUUCCAUGUGUAGCGGUGAAAUGCGUAGAGAUAUGGAGGAACACCAGUGGCGAAGGCGACUCUCUGGUCUGCAACUGACGCUGAGGCGCGAAAGCGUGGGGAGCGAACA